UGAGGAAUAUUGCACAAUGGGCGCAAGCCUGAUGCAGCAACGCCGCGUGAGGGACGAAGGCCUUCGGGUCGUAAACCUCUUUUCUGGGGGACGAGUAAGGACGGUACCCCAGGAAUAAGUCUCGGCUAACUACGUGCCAGCAGCCGCGGUAAAACGUAGGAGGCGAGCGUUAUCCGGAUUUACUGGGCGUAAAGCGUACGCAGGUGGCUUCGUUAGUCGGACAUGAAAGCUCCUGGCUUAACUGGGAGAGGUUGUUCGAUACUGCGGGGCUUGAGGUUGGGAGAGGGACGUGGAAUUCCCGGUGGAGUGGUGGAAUGCGUAGAUAUCGGGAGGAACACCAGUGGCGCAAGCGGCGUCCUGCCCACACCUGACGCUGAGGUACGAAAGCGUGGGUAGCAAACA
rnacentral:rRNA from 1 species